rnacentral:tmRNA from 15 species
UGAGGCGAAUUGGAAAGCAGUGGCAGUUUUUGGUACCCAAGCAGUGGGGGCGUAAGGGUUCGACAGAGAGGGUAAGAGCGAAGUCUGAGCGUGGUAGCUCAAGUUGGGAAAAUGCCUAAACAAAAACCAACGACAUCGUGUUUCUCUUUUUGGAACCGGGUUCAAUUCCCGGCGCCUCCACCA